AUGUUCUUUGUAGCUCUGCUGCUGCUGGCGGCUGGAUGCUGUGUGAAAUGUGAACAGCUGACACAGUCAGCCUCUGUGAGUAUGCAGCCAGGUCAACGUCUGACCAUCAGCUGUGUGGAGUGUGAACAGCUGACACAGCCGGCCUCUAUGACUGUGCAGCCAGGUCAACAACUGACCAUCAGCUGUCAGACCUGCCACAGAGUGAUUCAGUGGCAGACACUGUGCAAGCAAAUGGCUUUUACAAUGUUUAGAUUUCAGGUUGUCCUUACCUUUAUUAUUGUAUCUGUAAGCUGGAACGGUACUGAUGGUCAAACACUGACUGAGUCAGAAUCAGUGGUUAAAAGGGCUGGAGAAUCCCACAGACUGACCUGCACAUAUUCUGGGUUUAGUAACCAUCACUGGAACGCUUGGGUCAGACAGGCAGCUGGAAAAGGACUGGAGUGGGUUGCUACUAUCAGUGAUACCAGCACCUAUAUCUACCACUCUGACUCAGUAAAAGGCCGGUUCACCAUCUCCAGAGACAACAGCAAAUAUCAAGUGUAUCUGCAGAUGAACAGCCUGACAGCUGGAGAUUCUGCUGUUUAUUACUGCGCUCGGGAGUCACAGUGGCACAGAAAGCAGAAACGCUGAACAAAAACUCCUCAG